CUAACAAGGAUUCCCCUAGUAACGGCGAGUGAAGCGGGAAGAGCUCAAAUUUGAAAUCUGGCGGCCUCAGGUCGUCCGAGUUGUAGUCUGGAGAAGCGUUUUCUGCGCCGGACCGUGUACAAGUCCCUUGGAACAGGGCGUCAUAGAGGGUGAGAAUCCCGUCUUUGACACGGGCCUGCCGGUGCUUUGUGAUGCGCUCUCGAAGAGUCGAGUUGUUUGGGAAUGCAGCUCAAAACGGGUGGUAAAUUCCAUCUAAAGCUAAAUAUUGGCGAAAGACCGAUAGCGAACAAGUACCGUGAGGGAAAGAUGAAAAGCACUUUGGAAAGAGAGUUAAACAGUACGUGAAAUUGUUGAAAGGGAAACGCUUGAAGUCAGUCGCGUCUUCCGGGACUCAGCCUUGCUUUUGCUUGGUGUAUUUCCUGGGGUGACGGGCCAGCAUCGAUUUCGACCGUCGGAGAAAGGCUUUGGGAAUGUGGCACCUUCGGGUGUGUUAUAGCCCUUGGUCGCAUGCGACGGUUGGGAUCGAGGAUCGCAGCACGCCUUCAAUGGCCGGGGUUYGCCCACGUAACGUGCUUAGGAUGCUGGCGUAAUGGCUUUAAACGACCCGUCUUGAAACAC
rnacentral:rRNA from 1 species